AUUUUUCUUCGGGGAAGGGUGUGAAUCCCUACCGGCGGUAUAGCCCGCGAACCGCUUAUGCGGUUGAACUGGUGUAAUUCCAGUGCCGACAGUUAUAGUCUGGAUGAGAGAAGAUCACU
rnacentral:ncRNA from 2 species